rnacentral:sRNA from 1 species
CAUGCACCCCUGAAUGUCUUAACCUCCCAAACCACAGAGUUCAGAGAGUGUUGUGGAGAACAUGGGCCCUUCUCCAGCCUACAUGAAACAUGCUCUUCCCUCUCUACUCCCUUCCUCACCAGCUGUGGACCUGCAGACUUAAUCUGGAGCACACCCAGGGGUUUCUCUGGCUAUGACCACUAAGGCAUUAGAACACAAACCCUCCCCCAAGAGCUCUACCCUAGCAACCACCCAGCAGCCUGCAGAGCUGUGGGAAUCGGCUGUCCCUUGUUUUGGCAGGGAUCUUGUGUUUACAUUCUGAGCCUAAAGAGGAAAGCAGUGGCAUUAUUCUAAUUUCCUGUACCAAGAAAGGCUUGAUACCCAUGCUGCUGCCUCUGCUGAAGUCACUGAAGGGUUACAGGGCCAUCGCCCAGUUGUUUUCCAACUUUCCAUUUCUCACCUACUAUUUAAAGAACUGUUUAUGCUAAUGUCCAUAUGGGAAAUUCAAACUACAAAACCAGCCAUAGAAAUAAGGGAAAGAAGAAAAUUUGCAACAGGCUUGCUCCCCAGUCUUCCUCUAGCCUCCUCUCAGCUGCCCAGUCCCUGUUAUCUCCUCCAAUCAAUUCAGAUAAGUCACGCAGGGUAAGAGCGGUCAGAAGCCAGAGAGACCAUGCUCAGGGAUCCAACUCAGAUGAUCAGACUUGAAGGCGAGCUCCUUGCACACUGAACCAUCUCAUCAGCCCCAAAAGUGCUGUUUUGAAAACGGAAGUUCAACAGUCUGGGGGAUUGAAGGUGACCAACUGACCAACGGAGGGGCAAGGCAUUAGAGAUACAGUACAAUAAGUCUGUAUGGAAAUAAAUCAA